GUCUUAUUGAUUAUAAUUUUAAGUCUAAUCUGCCCAGUGAUUUAUUAAAUGGCUGCAGUAUUUUAACUGUACAAAGGUAGCAUAAUAAUUAGUUUCUUAAUUAGAAACUGGAAUGAAAGAUUGGACGAGGCAAUAGCUGUCUCAAUCUAAAUUAAAGAAUUUUAUUUUUAAGUUAAAAAGCUUAAAUUUAUUUAAAAGACGAGAAGACCCUAUAGAAUUUUAUAUAAGUGUAUUAUUUAAAUUUUAGAAUAGGAAUUUUGAAUUUAUACAGGAUUAUUUAAUUGGGGUGAUUGAAAAAUUUAUUUAACUUUUUUUAUUAAACAAAUCAUUAAUUUAUGUAUAGUUGAUCCAAUAUUUUUGAUUAUAAGAUUAAAUUACCUUAGGGAUAACAGCGUAAUUUUUUUAGAGAGUUCUUAUCGAUAAAAGAGAUUGCGACCUCGAUGUUGGAUUAAAGUUAAUUUUUGAUGUAGAAGUUAAAAAAUUAGGUCUGUUCGACCUUUGAAACUUUACAUGAUCUGAGUUUAAAUCGGCGUGAGCCAGGUUGGAUUCUAUCUUUAAAAAUUUUUAAUAUUUUAGUACGAAAGGACCAAGUAUUAUUUAUAAUAAAUUUUAUAGAAUAAUA
rnacentral:rRNA from 1 species